rnacentral:rRNA from 1 species
AUUGAACGCUGGCGGCAGGCCUAACACAUGCAAGUAGAGCGAGCGGCGGAGGGGUGAUGAAUGUAUGGGGACUGCCCGAUAGAGGGGGGUAAAUGCUGGAAAAGGUAUCUAAUACAGACUACUAUAGCAGAACCCAUAUGGGAUUCGCUAGUAGGUGAGGUAAUGGCUCACCUAGGCGACGAACCCUAGCUGGGCUGAGAGGGUGAUCAGCCACACUGGGACUGAGACCCGGCCCAGACUCCUACGGAGGCAGCAGUGGGGAAUAUUGCACAAUGGGCGCAAGCCUGAUGCAGCCAUGCCGCGUGUAUGAAGAAGGCCCUAGGGUUGUAAAGUACUUUCAGUCGGGAGGCGUUACCGACAGAAGAAGCACCGGCUAACUCCGUGCCAGCAGCCGCGGUAAUAC